GCCCCAGUGGCGAAAUCGGUAGCCGCAGCGGACUUAAAAUCCGCCUCCGUAAGGAUUACGAGUUCGAGUCUCGUCUGGGGUA
rnacentral:tRNA from 1 species